AAACCGGGAGUGGGGAGUGCCAUAGUCACAAGAAUAAAUACUAACUGUUUCUUCAAAUCAAAGAUCCGGAUCCUCAACAACUUUUUUUUUUUUUUUUUUUUUUUUUUUUUUUUUUUUUUUUUUUUUUUUUUUUUUUUUUUUUUUUUUUUUUUUUUUUUUUUUUUUUUUUUUUUUUUUUUUUUUUUUUUUUUUUUUUUUUUUUUUUUUUUUUUUUUUUUUUUUUUUUUUUUUUUUUUUUUUUUUUUUUUUUUUUUUUUUUUUUUUUUUUUUUUUUUUUUUUUUUUUUUUUUUUUUUUUUUUUUUUUUUUUUUUUUUUUUUUUUUUUUUUUUUUUUUUUUUUUUUUUUUUUUUUUUUUUUUUUUUUUUUUUUUUUUUUUUUUUUUUUUUUUUUUUUUUUUUUUUUUUUUUUUUUUUUUUUUUUUUUUUUUUUUUUUUUUUUUUUUUUUUUUUUUUUUUUUUUUUUUUUUUUUUUUUUUUUUUUUUUUUUUUUUUUUUUUUUUUUUUUUUUUUUUUUUUUUUUUUUUUUUUUUUUUUUUUUUUUUUUUUUUUUUUUUUUUUUUUUUUUUUUUUUUUUUUUUUUUUUUUUUUUUUUUUUUUUUUUUUUUUUUUUUUUUUUUUUUUUUUUUUUUUUUUUUUUUUUUUUUUUUUUUUUUUUUUUUUUUUUUUUUUUUUUUUUUUUUUUUUUUUUUUUUUUUUUUUUUUUUUUUUUUUUUUUUUUUUUUUUUUUUUUUUUUUUUUUUUUUUUUUUUUUUUUUUUUUUUUUUUUUUUUUUUUUUUUUUUUUUUUUUUUUUUUUUUUUUUUUUUUUUUUUUUUUUUUUUUUUUUUUUUUUUUUUUUUUUUUUUUUUUUUUUUUUUUUUUUUUUUUUUUUUUUUUUUUUUUUUUUUUUUUUUUUUUUUUUUUUUUUUUUUUUUUUUUUUUUUUUUUUUUUUUUUUUUUUUUUUUUUUUUUUUUUUUUUUUUGUUUUUUGCAGCAGCAGCAGGGCUAGUGUGAGUUUCUAACCCUGCUCAAACUCCUG
rnacentral:lncRNA from 1 species